CCUACGUGCGGCAGCAGUGGGGAAUAUUGGACAAUGGGCGAAAGCCUGAUCCAGCCAUGCCGCGUGUGUGAAGAAGGCCUUCGGGUUGUAAAGCACUUUCAGUGGGGAAGAAAGCCUUGGGGCUAAUACCCUCGAGGAAGGACAUCACCCACAGAAGAAGCACCGGCUAACUCCGUGCCAGCAGCCGCGGUAAUACGGAGGGUGCGAGCGUUAAUCGGAAUUACUGGGCGUAAAGCGCGCGUAGGCGGUCUGAUAAGCCGGUUGUGAAAGCCCCGGGCUCAACCUGGGAACGGCAUCCGGAACUGUCAGGCUAGAGUGCAGGAGAGGAAGGUAGAAUUCCCGGUGUAGCGGUGAAAUGCGUAGAGAUCGGGAGGAAUACCAGUGGCGAAGGCGGCCUUCUGGACUGACACUGACGCUGAGGUGCGAAAGAGUGGGUAGCAAACAGGAUUAGAUACCCCAGUAGUC
rnacentral:rRNA from 1 species